rnacentral:lncRNA from 1 species
CAAGCAUAUGACAUUCAUUCCAAGCUCAACUUUGCUCCAAAAGGCUCCAAAAUGCAUCAUUUUGCAUACUUUGCCCUUAGAACCCAAAAACACAUAAAACUAGCUUAAAAGACUACUUUACUAAGCAAAAACACUAUAAAUGUACAAGAACAAGCUAAACUAAGGCGCAUAAAUAUGCUCCUAUCAAAUUCCCCACACUUAGCUUUUGCUAGUCCUCGAGCAAAACAAAACGAAACAAAAGAACAAAACGAAAUAA